CUGAGUUUCACUGAGAUCAAGAGACUGGAUAUUAGUUAUGAAGCAGAGGAUGUGCCUGGAGCUACAGAACCAAUUAAAGAUAUGUGGCUAAAGAAUGACUUCUGUAAUCAAGUGGAUGAAGGUCUGGGAAAAUCUUGUCACUUGGAGAGGUAGCUCACUGCUGGUCAGCAAGGCUGAAUCUACUCCAUGAAGAUUCGCAUGGAUCCAGGCUCAAAGAGGAGUGAUCAUGACAGUCACAGUUCCAAAGAGAAAUAUCUCCAAGUUCUUUCUUAGGCAGUUAAGCCUGUUGGACUUAAAAAGCACUUUACGUGGCUGAACCCAUUGGACAGAAGGAACCACAUGGCUCACCUAUCUCCGAGAUAGAGAUGGAGAGACAGGAAUACUUGCAAAACUGCAGUAAUCACUGUUG
rnacentral:lncRNA from 1 species